GUGCUCACUUCGGCAGCACAUAUAGUAAAAUUGGAGCGAUACAGAGAAGAUUUGCACGGCCCCUACACAAGGAUGACACCCAAAAUACAAAAGCUGGGGCUGAAUCAAGUCAUU
ensembl:snRNA U6 U6 spliceosomal RNA